rnacentral:tRNA from 1 species
ACCUGGGUGGCUCAGUCGGUUAAGCGUCUGACUUCGGCUCAGGUCAUGAUCUUGCAGUCCGUGGGUUCGAGCCCCGUGUCAGGCU